rnacentral:rRNA from 1 species
UACGGAAGGCAGCAGUGGGGAAUAUUGCACAAUGGGCGAAAGCCUGAUGCAGCGACGCCGCGUGAGGGAUGACGGCCUUCGGGUUGUAAACCUCUUUCAGCAGGGAAGAAGCCACAAGUGACGGUACCUGCAGAAGAAGCGCCGGCUAACUACGUGCCAGCAGCCGCGGUAAUACGUAGGGCGCAAGCGUUGUCCGGAAUUAUUGGGCGUAAAGAGCUCGUAGGCGGUUUUGUCGCGUCUGCUGUGAAAGCCCGGGGCUUAACCCCCGGGUGUGCAGUGGGUACGGGCAGACUAGAGUGCAGUAGGGGAGACUGGAAUUCCUGGUGUAGCGGUGGAAAUGCGCAGAUAUCAGGAGGAACACCGAUGGCGAAGGCAGGUCUCUGGGCUGUUACUGACGCUGAGGAGCGAAAGCAUGGGGAGCG